rnacentral:lncRNA from 1 species
CAGGACAGGACUUUAUGGAAACACUUUGCCAAGCCAUGUGGUGCGCGGCUUCCCUUUGCAUCAAUACCCUUUUAAUUACCUGAUCCUGAGGGGGAAAAAAGUUAAAGAAAAGUAUCAGUGCAAAACCCUAGGAACCUGCCGAGAAUCAGACUUAAAAAAAAAAAAAAAUCCUCGUGAUACGAUGUUCGGCAAUUAUUCUACAGAAUAUCCAUGUAAAUCCUGCAGCUGGUCUACGAAGGUAACGCUAUGACCUAUAUAACUUGAUAUUUAUAAAGCACAAUAAUAUCCAGGAAAUUGAUUGUUAAGAGCGUUUAAUGCUCUGAAAUUGGCCAUUAAGUGCAGAAUCCUUUGAAAGGCAUUAUUGUUAUUAUGAAGCAUUGCAGAGGUUUUAUUUAUUAUCAUAAACCUAAUGGACUCAGUAAAUUAGGUGUAUUUAAAAAGGUCAUUUGCUGCUUGUUGAGGCCAAAUCCUAAGCACUUGGAUUCAGAUGGAUCACAAAACGUAGCAGUGUUUUUAAAGAUGACCCACUGUAAGCUACUUGAGAUAAAUAACAUGGAAACACAGUUCCUUGGAUGUGUAUAUGAUAAUAAUGAGAAUGAUAGCAAUGUCACGAGAACUCUUAGGAUUGUGUAAAAGGCUACAUUAGAAAAUGACGAGUUUCCUUUUCAGAACCACUUAUUAAAAAUAAAAGAAAAAAAGUAAAAUUCAUCAGAAGUGAGUUUAAGUCACAAAGAAAAAUCUUUUCCUGGAAUUGUAUUUCUUUUGGAUGGAAUAUAGUGUCAUCUUUGCAUCUUUCUAAAAAAUCUCUCACGGUGAGAGGGUGUGGUUACUUUAUAAUCUAAGGAGUCAGCUAGGGACCUGAAGGAUGAGAGAUACACAUGGCUGAGGGGGUCCCGACACGCCGCUGUGGCCUCGAGAGUUUGUUGAGUACACGAUAGAAAUUGAACACUUAUGUGGAUGGAGAGUAACAUUUUUUUUUCCUGUUGAAUGUAUUUUCAUGUGAGUAGAAAUGGCUUUGUUUUCUCAGAUGCUCUCUUUUGAGGAAGUCAUAGCUGGAAAUGUGGUCGGAACUAGGCACUGGUGUUUCAGUGCAAAGUCAUACUCAAGGCCCUUGCCUGGAACAAUCUGGAAACCGGAGGAACAUGCAGGUGCCUGUCUCUGCAGAGCUCUCCUUGGGUAGCAGGCAGCAGACAGCAGGCUGCAUCUGAGUGGGACCCGGCCAGUCGACAUUCAGAGACAAGGAUUGAAGGCCUUUAGGAAGAGAACUCCAGCACAACCUUUUCUUUUAUCACUGGAGUCUUACACUCGGAGUAAAGGUAAAC